AUGGCCGGGGGGCAUCCGAUUCCAGACACCAGGACAGAAGCAGAUCAUGGGCCAGCCUCAGCGAGGCUUGCUACAGAACCCCCAGGAACUCCUGUCCUCAUCCUCUCAACCCAGGCCUCCAUGCAGAAAAAAAAAGCUGACCCUCCACGCUCACCUAUAACAAACGUAGCACUCUCCAUGAGUGACUCUGAAGGCCACGAGCUGUGCAAGCCACCACCCUCCGGAGGCAUUUAUUCAAGUCUUGAGCGCUGCAAGGAGGAUGUUCCACGUCACCAAGUGAGCCUUGCCACCUGCCGAGCGUCCAGGUGUCCACAAAACUCAGAGGCUGUCCCCAACAACAGGAAUCUCCACUGCGCCACCAUUUUGGAGAAGAGCUAG
rnacentral:lncRNA from 1 species